UUGGUGGUUGUUUCUGUCUGAUGGUUCAGUUGGUGGUUGUAUCUGAUGGUUCAGUUGGUGGUUGUUUCUGUCUGAUGGUUCAGUUGGUGGUUGUUUCUCUCCGAUGGUUCAACUGGUGGUUGUUUCUGAUGGUUGUUUCUGUUUCCUGGGGGACUCAUGUUGGUGGUGCGCCUGCUUUAGCGUUCCCCUCCAUCUGUGUGCUUUGUGCGAUGGUUCCCAGGAGGCCUUCUUUUCUCUCUGAUGGCACAUCAGAAUGCUGGGCCUAUAAACACUGGCAUCAAUAACUCCGUCCCUCUCCUCCCCCCUCUGCUGGCUGACUGUUGUUUAUAUGGCUGUAAAAUUCAAUUAGGCUGCAGGGGAGUGGGCUGGCCUGCAUUACUGCCUGCCAGGGUGACAUUUCAUUUGCAAUGAAUCAUGGUCCAGAGGAGGACCUGGCCGGCAAACACAACAACAUUCCUGUUCUCGUCUGCUGUCGCUGCCUCUUCUCCCUCCUGAAGGAAACCUGCAGACCUCACUCUGCUUUUAGACUGUACACCACCGUGUUGGAUUUGGCCUUUUUCUGGUAAUUUUGCAUCUUCCAGGUAGAAUUGUGCAUUUCUUUGUGGUAAUUUUGGCCCUUUUUUGGUGAUUUGAUCUCUUUUUGUGGUUUAUUUGUCUCUUUCUGUGGUAAUUUUCAAGCUUAUUAGUUAUUUUAGUCUCAGUUUUUCCCAGAACUCAGAUGUUUCUCCUCCUAAAUGUCAUGGUUCUAUCUGCUGGACUGAUGAAGUUCUGAGGCUCAGAAAUGAUGGAAAAGUCCAUUAAGAAAUGAUAAAUCUGAAGCCUAUAAUGCCACUUUCUGACAACACAAACUUUUAUUGUAAGAUUUCAAAAGUUUGCAUGACAAACAUUUUUUGGAGCUGCAGUGAUCCUUUCUGUCAUCUUCGCUGGUCUUCUGUCCUCCAGGACUUUAGGUCCAUUUCUCUUCCUCUUUCAGACCUCAAAGUUUCAGCUCCAAAUCAAAACUAAACCAACAGAACCCGAUGGUCUGAGAGCUUGAUUGUCAGAAAAUGACAGAUUUAGAGAGUUUCUGGUGGGAAUUAACUGCAUUGUUUUAAAGAUUCUGCUUCAGAGAGAAGACGAUAAAUCUCCAAUGUUCUGGUUCAGAGAUGUAAUCAGAGCAGAAUGAAUGGAAACUCAGUGAAUUAAUGCAUAGACUACCUCUGACAUUACACAACCGAGGGGUCCACAAAAAGUGUGGAUAGUCUGAGCAGGUCUAGUUGUCACCGCUGGACGUGGAAACAUCUCGAUACUCUUGUAGUUCUGAACUGAAUCCGCCAGGAACAAGUUCAGCUCUAAUUCAGUCCAUGUUCUCCAUGAAUAAUGCACCUAAGUGCUCUGAUUUUAGCUCCGCUCGCCGCUUUUGUUCUUCCUCUGAGUACGUUUGCGUGUUGUAUUUCUGUUUGUUUUUUAGUUGUUUUUUCUUCAUGUUUACAGCUGAAAGCUUCCCACUGUUGUUGGGGUUUAUCUUCUUUAUCACACUGAUAGUGUGAUAAAGUUUCUUGAUUUAUUGGGAAAUGGUUCAGAAAAACAUUUCAUUCAGGAACUCCAUGAACCCAAGGAGACAGUUUUAAAGCACAUUCCAUCUGAAAUGAUGAAAUAGAGGAAAAACUCUUAAAUGAUCUAAAUUCUUGUCAUUUCUGUCCUGAUUAAACAGAGCCGUCUCCUAAAUUAUGUUCCUAAACAGCUGAAAUCCAUCCUCAGGUAGAAUUUGUGUCAUGAUUCUAUUUCAAACAGACAGAUCUUUGCUGUUUUUUCUUUUUGCUCAUUUUCAGCUGAUUUCUGUAUUAGAUACAUUUCAAAGAUGCACUGAAAAGGUCUGAAUUCAUCCCAAAGUGUGAUAUUUUAAAGCUAAUCAGGUAGUUUGGGGGUUAGACUUAAUCCUGUAGCGAGACUGUUCUCUAGUGUAGAAUGGUUUGACUGCACCACUUCAUCGUUUCACUAUCAGGGAGGACAAAAACUGUCUUGAAGUUUUUAAUUUCUGUGAUGGUUCAAGCAGAAAUCAUGAUGGAGGAAUAGUUCUGAAUGCAGUGAAGAGAGGACAGUCAUUAAAACGGAGAAUUCAUCAAAGAAACUUCUGUUGUUGGUGGUUCUGUUUCUCCCCUGUAGUUUAAUUCAGAUAGCAGGAAUAGAAAUUCACAUAAAAUGAGCAGCCAGGAACAGGUUUAUAAACAGUCUGGUUCCAGAGAGUCAGACCAGUUUAAAUCAAAGUUUAUAUCUGGAACGUGUUCACACCCUGGACAACCACCAGUUUAAACCUCAUUAAACAGAAAUAAAAACUUAAAUCUGUAGUUUAAACUAGGGCUGCAACAACGAAUCGAUAAAAUCGAUAAUAAUCGAUUAUUAAAAGCGUUGGCAACGAAUUUCAUUAUCGAUUCGUUGUGUCGCGCGAUUCGUGCGUCACUCGCCAUGUCGCGGAGCGUCAACUUCACCUGCAGAGCUUUGUCAAUGCUGGCUGACGGAAAUAAAGUUUUUUUUGUUUUUUGUUUUUUAAAAAUAAUUCCACCUCUAGAGCGAGUUGAACAGAACGAGGUGGCGGCAAAGCGAAAGUAAAUUCAGAGUAAUUUCAACCGAACGUGACCGACACGGAGGAAACAGUCAGACCGAAAUCCUCAAAAGUGUGGCAGCAUUUAACGCUUCACAAAACAACAAACAUGCGUAGCAUGCAAGCUUUACAAAAGUGAUAUGAUGUACGGGAGCACCACGAUGAUGAUGCAGCACCUGAAACGGAAACACGUUGGAGUCGCCGAUGAGGAUGAAGGAGCUCAACAGCAGCAAACAAUGACAGGCUUCAUGAUGAGCAAGACAUCAUGUCAACCACAGCAAGCAUCUGUCCUGACUGAGAGCAUCCUCAACAUGAUGCUCACUGGCAUGAGGCCUGUGUCGAUGGUUGAAGACGAAGGCUUCGCUUCAAUUAUCUUAUUUGCUCUGUCAGUCCAAAUCUUCUCUUUCAGAAUAAAGCGGCGGAAAUUAAAAA